GUGCUCAAUUUGGCAGCACAUACACUAAAAUUGAAAUGAUACAGAGAAGAUUACCAUGGCCCCUGGGCAAGGAUGACAAGCAAAUUCAUGAAGUGUUCCAUAUUUUU
ensembl:snRNA U6 U6 spliceosomal RNA